GAUGAACGCUGGCGGCGUGCCUAAUACAUGCAAGUCGAGCGGACGGACGAGAAGCUUGCUUCUCUGAUGUUAGCGGCGGACGGGUGAGUAACACGUGGAUAACCUACCUAUAAGACUGGGAUAACUUCGGGAAACCGGAGCUAAUACCGGAUGAUAUUUUGAACCGCAUGGUUCAAAAGUGAAAGACGGUCUUGCUGUCACUUAUAGAUGGAUCCGCGCUGCAUUAGCUAGUUGGUAAGGUAACGGCUUACCAAGGCAACGAUGCAUAGCCGACCUGAGAGGGUGAUCGGCCACACUGGAACUGAGACACGGUCCAGACUCCUACGGGAGGCAGCAGUAGGGAAUCUUCCGCAAGGGGCGAAAGCCUGACGGAGCAACGCCGCGUGAGUGAUGAAGGUCUUCGGAUCGUAAAACUCUGUUAUUAGGGAAGAACAUAUGUGUAAGUAACUGUGCACAUCUUGACGGUACCUAAUCAGAAAGCCACGGCUAACUACGUG
rnacentral:rRNA from 1 species